CCAUUGAAACACCGGUCCCCGUACGAUCACAGAAAUUAAGCAACGUUGAGCCUGGUUAGUAUCUAGAUGGGUGACUGCUUGAGAAUUGCAGGUACUGUAA